CGAUCAAUACAAGGAUACUGUUUCAUUUCAAUCGUCCUGAUGAUAACGCGAAAUGAUACUAGAUAAACUGAACUUAUUUUGUUUGUAAUCAUGACGGGUAUGGCAGCUAUGUUGUGUUUGACAAGUACCGUACAAGUACACUAACAAGUACAAAAUGUGUACUUUGAAGCCUUGCUGUUAUGGUUCUGUUGCUCUACUUAACUCUACUGUAACAAUCUACAAAUGCAAGAACUUCUAGAAUGUGUAUAGCCUUAGUUGUCUCUGGUUACGCCCUUUUCGUGAAUUCCUAAAGGUUUUAAAGCUUUCAUACAGCUGUUGCACGUCUUGUCAAAUUUGAAUGUUCUACAUUUUUCGUCACGUCUGUUUUCCUUUUACACCAUAUAAGCAAGAUUACCUUUGAUGAUUUAUAUGUUUGCAAGUUUUAAAGUAAAUAAAGGUUAAUCAAACGGAGAACAAUACAAACAUCGUAUGCACAUACUUCAAUAUCCAUAAUGAAUAAAUACGAAUACUUGCCACUAAAACAACCCAACACCAGUGGACAUGAAUCAGUUGAUGGACCAAGUAAACGACAAAAUAGAUAAGGUGGUGAAGCAAGAAGAAAAAGAAACUAUUUUAGUUCUUAUUGGUAAAACUGGGCAUGGUAAAAGUUCUCUCGGCAAUACUUUACUAAGACGAGAUGUAUUUGAAGUGUCUGAUUUUAGUACAUCUGUUACCAAAUUUGCGAUCAAUCAUCGCGACGACAAUCUGGUAGUUUUUGAUGGAACUGAGAAUAAUCCAAAAAGUAUGGAAUUCAACAUUACACUACAACAGCUUACUAUGAUAUUAAAAGGUUGUAAAAAGGGUGUGACUGCUUUUGUAUUGGUCUUUGCGAUAUCUACAAGGUUUUCAAAAGAAGAAAUUCAUACCAUAGAAAUGUAUAAAAAUAUUUUAGGCGAAGACUUUUUAAAAACAAACGGUGUUUUUGUUCUAACUCACGGCGAAAAUUUUGAUUGCAAAUAUACUUUUAUGGAAUGGUGCGACAAACAGAAAGGCCCUUUUGAGGAUAUUUACAAUGAGUGUAAUAAAAGAGUGGUGCUCGUAGAGAAUAAAGCUACAGAUUCUAAAAUGUUGGAAUAUCGCGACCAAGUUUUAGGACUUACAAAGAAUCUGACUGAGCCGUAUACAAUGAACAAUUUUAAUCGAAAUAAAAGGAGCCGUAAAAAGCCUGUUUUAAAUGGGAAGUUGAUGAUUUGAAGCGUAAAUAUAAUAAAAAAAUUACACAUCUUCAAAACAAAAUUAAUAAAAAAGGAAAAUUAACUAAAGAAUUAAAAAUGCAAAUAACUUUACUUGUUAAUGAAAUAACUGAAAGCAAUAAUGAAGACGAAAAAUACAACCUUAACUUGGAACUUGAAGCUGCAGAAAAAUUGUUUGUUACAUCUUGCUGCAUUCUAUAAAAUAAGAAACUAAAAAUAUGUUAAAUUUGUGAGUUGUUUCCAGACAAUUAAUAUGAUCUAAAACAUAACAACACGUAUUUUGUUUCUAGAACAGGUGGCUAUAUUAGUUUUACAAAAAUCUUAGUAAUACAGUUGUAAAACAUUUUUAAAGAAAUUAUUGAUAACGUUUGAGUUA